UCUGUAGGCGGAGUGGAAAGUUGGGCGUGAAAGCUCCGGGCUUAACCCGGAGAGGACGUUCAAUACUACCAAACUAGAGGGCAUCAGAGGAGCGUGGAAUUUCCGGUGUAGCGGUAAAAUGCGCAGAUAUCGGAAGGAACACCAGUGGCGAAGGCGGCGCUCUGGGAUGCACCUGACGCUAAGAGACGAAAGCUAGGGGAGCGAACAGGAUUAGAUACCCUGGUAGUCC
rnacentral:rRNA from 1 species